UACGUAGGGACCAAGCGUUGUCCGGAAUUAUUGGGCGUAAAGAGCUCGUAGGCGGUGUGUCACGUCGGCCGUGAAACUUGCAGUUUAACUGUGGGCGUGCGGUCGAUACGGGCAUCACUGGAGUUCGGCAGGGGAGACUGGAAUUCCUGGUGUAGCGGUGAAAUGCGUAGAUAUCAGGAGGAACACCGGUGGCGAAGGCGGGUCUCUGGGCCGAUACUGACGCUGGAGGAGCGAAAGCCGUGGGGAGCAAACAGGAUUA
rnacentral:rRNA from 1 species